rnacentral:tRNA from 1 species
UCCCUGGUGGUUCAGCUGGUAAAGAAUCCACCUGCAAUGUGGGAGACCUGGGUUUGAUCCCUGGCUUGGGAA